AUGGCGGCAGUCGGCGCUCGCUGGGUGGAGGCUCGUGCGCACCCUCAUCCCCGCCCUCCCUCGGCCAUCGACUCGUGGCAAUUAUGUGCCAAGCGUGGCCGGCAGUUCAUGAAGGGAUGGGGUGCCAACCUGGGGCGUGACCUCCGCGAACGCAAGAAGGCCCUGUUGACCGCCAUCCAGGCCCUGGACCUGCGUGCGGACGCGACCGGCCUCUCUCCUGACGAGUGGCUCUCUCGAUACGACUUGGAAGACCAACUCUCCGUCAUCUACACCGAUGAGGAGGCCUACUGGCGUCUCUGUGGUGCCCAGAAAUGGGUUUUGAAGGGUGGCACGAACACGGCCUACUUUCUGGCCAUCGCGAAUGGCCGCCGUAGACACAACACGAUCCCCCUCCUCUGGGAUGGCGCGACCCUCUUGCAGGCCCCCUGUGACAUUCGGUCCCAUGUCGACGGGUUCUAUAGGUCCCUGUUCUCCGCCGCUCCUAGGAGCGGCCUUUCUCUGGCCCGUGAUUGCUGGACCGGCCUCCAGCUGGUCUCCAAUGCGGAGAAUGCGGCCCUUACGGCCCCCUUCUCCGAGGGAGAGGUCUGGGCUGCCAUUAGAGGCAUGAACCCUACCUCAGCUCCGGGUCCGGAUGGCCUCCUGGUUAAAUUCUUCCAGACCUUCUGGAACGUGAUCAAGCCUGAGAUCAUGGCCAUCUUCGACGAGUUCUACGUUGGGCCCAUCGACCUCGGGCGCCUCAACUAUGGGAUCAUUUCGCUCAUCCCCAAGGUGCUUGGGGCUUCCGACAUCCGCCAGUUUCGACCGAUCACAGUCAUCAAUGUGAUUUUCCGGAUUCUGGCGAAAGGGUACGCCAAUAGGGUGACCCUUCUUGCUGAUCACAUUACCCAUCCCAACCAAUCCGCCUUCAUUCAAGGGCGGUAUAUCCUAGAUGGGGUGCUAGUUCUUCAUGAAGUCCUCCAUGAGGUCCGGUCUAAACACCUCAGGGCGGUUUUCCUGAAGAUCGAUUUUUAUAAGGCGUACGAUACUGUUAGUUGGUCCUUCCUUCGGGAAGUUCUGCUCCGGAAGGGCUUUGACGACCGGUGGAUCACCAGAGUGAUGCAGAUGGUUUCCUGCGGUCGCACUGUUGUGAACAUCAAUGGGGAGAUCGGCCCUUACUUCCCCACCGUGGGGUUAGACAAGGCGACCCCUUCUCCCCGUUCUUGUUCAAUAUGGUGGUGGACGUGCUUGCCGCCAUCUUCAAUAAGGCUAAGGAUGCUGGCCAUACGUAACGCCCACGAUGCGGCUAUAUCUCCCACGUGUCGAGGCACGACUUAG
rnacentral:rRNA from 1 species